GGCCUACCAUGCAGUCGAGCGGUAGAGAGGUGCUUGCACCUCUUGAGAGCGGCGGACGGGUGAGUAAAGCCUAGGAAUCUGCCUGGUAGUGGGGGAUAACGCUCGGAAACGGACGCUAAUACCGCAUACGUCCUACGGGAGAAAGCAGGGGACCUUCGGGCCUUGCGCUAUCAGAUGAGCCUAGGUCGGAUUAGCUAGUUGGUGAGGUAAUGGCUCACCAAGGCGACGAUCCGUAACUGGUCUGAGAGGAUGAUCAGUCACACUGGAACUGAGACACGGUCCAGACUCCUACGGGAGGCAGCAGUGGGGAAUAUUGGACAAUGGGCGAAAGCCUGAUCCAGCCAUGCCGCGUGUGUGAAGAAGGUCUUCGGAUUGUAAAGCACUUUAAGUUGGGAGGAAGGGCAUUAACCUAAUACGUUAGUGUUUUGACGUUACCGACAGAAUAAGCACCGGCUAACUCUGUGCCAGCAGCCGCGGUAAUACAGAGGGUGCAAGCGUUAAUCGGAAUUACUGGGCGUAAAGCGCGCGUAGGUGGUUCGUUAAGUUGGAUGUGAAAUCCCCGGGCUCAACCUGGGAACUGCAUUCAAAACUGUCGAGCUAGAGUAUG
rnacentral:rRNA from 1 species